UGGUUUUACAAAAACAUGUCUUAAUGUUUAUUUAUAUUAAGUCUGGCCUGCUCAAUGAUUAUAAUUAAAUAGCCGCAGUACUCUGACUGUGCAAAGGUAGCAUAAUCACUUGUCUUUUAAUUGGAGGCUUGUAUGAAUGGUUUGAUGAGAACUAAUCUUUCUUUUUAUUAAUUAAUUGAAUUUAACUUUUUAGUUAAAAGGCUAGAAAUUUUGGAGUGGGACGAGAAGACCCUAUAGAAUUUUAUUUACAUUUUUAUAUUUAUCUAAUUUAGCUAUAAUUUAGUUUUAUUUUGAUGUAAAUUUUGUUGGGGCGACAGAAUGAUUUUUAUAACUCAUUUAUUUAAUGUAUUAUUGAUUAAUAAUUUUAUUGAUCCUGAUUUUUGGAUAAAUAGAUUAAAUUACCUUAGGGAUAACAGCGUAAUUCUUUUGGAGAGUUCAUAUUGAUGAAGGAGUUUGCGACCUCGAUGUUGGAUUAAAAUAAGUUUUAAGUGCAGAAGCUUAGGUUACUAGGUCUGUUCGACCUUUAAUAUUUUACAUGAUCUGAGUUCAACCGGAAA
rnacentral:rRNA from 1 species